rnacentral:rRNA from 1 species
AGAGUUUGAUCCUGGCUCAGGAUGAACGCUAGCGGCAGGCCUAACACAUGCAAGUCGAGCGGGGUAGCAAUACCUAGCGGCGGACGGGUGCGUAACGCGUACGGAACUUGCCCUGGAGUGGGGGAUAACAGUUCGAAAGGACUGCUAAUACCGCAUAAUGCAGCGGCUCCAUAAGGAGACAGUUGUUAAAGAUUUAUUGCUUCAGGAGAGUCGUGCGUAAGAUUAGCUAGUUGGCGGGGUAACGGCCCACCAAGGCGACGAUCUUUAGCUGGUCUGAGAGGAUGAUCAGCCACACUGGCACUGAGAUACGGGCCAGACUCCUACGGGAGGCAGCAGUGGGGAAUAUUGGGCAAUGGGCGAAAGCCUGACCCAGCCAUGCCGCGUGCAGGAAGAAGGUCCACUGGAUUGUAAACUGCUUUUCUUCGGGGAUAAGGCGCCAUUAGAUGGCGAUUGAAGGUACCGAGGGAAUAAGCACCGGCAAACUACGUGCCAGCAGCCGCGGUAAUACGUAGGGUGCAAGCGUUGUCCGGAUUUAUUGGGUUUAAAGGGUGCGUAGGCGGUUUAGUAAGUCGUAGAUGAAAUGUUUGGGCUCAACCUAGGCACUGUUUACGAUACUGCUAGACUUGAAUAAGCUUGAGGUGGCUAGAAUGAGUGGUGUAGCGGUGAAAUGCGUAGAGAUCACUCAGAAUACCAAUUGCGAAGGCAGGUCACUGGAGCUAUAUUGACGCUGAGGCACGAAAGCGUGGGGAGCAAACAGGAUUAGAUACCCUGGUAGUCC